AAUCAACGCUGGUGGCGUGCCUAACACAUGCAAGUCGAGCGAGAAAAGGGGAGCAAUCCCCUGAGUACAGCGGCGCACGGGUGAGUAACACGUGGGUAAUCUGCCCUGGAGUGGGGAAUAACACCGGGAAACCGGUGCUAAUACCGCAUACGAUCACAGAGUCUGCGGAUUUUGUGAUGAAAGGAGCAAUUCGCUCUAGGAGGAGCCCGCGGCUGAUUAGCUAGUUGGUGAGGUAAUGGCUCACCAAGGCAACGAUCAGUAUCCGGUCUGAGAGGACGGUCGGACACACUGGAACUGAGACACGGUCCAGACUCCUAUGGGAGGCAGCAGUGGGGAAUUUUUGGCAAUGGGGGUAACCCUGACCAAGCAACGCCGCGUGGGUGAUGAAGUCUCUUGGGACGUAAAACCCUUUCGACGGGGACGAAAGCCGCAAGGUUUGACGGUACCCGUAGAAGAAGCCCCGGCUAACUCCGUGCCAGCCGCCGCGGUAAUAC
rnacentral:rRNA from 1 species